rnacentral:lncRNA from 1 species
GCUUGAACCCAGGAGGUGGAGGUUGCAGUGAGCCGAGAUGGCACCAUUGCACUCCAGCUUGGGCAACAAGAGCGAAACUCCAUCUGAAAAAAAAAAAAAGUUACAACUUUGGCACCAACUCAGGCCUAAGUGUCAUCUUCCCUGAAUUACUCCUAUGCUUCUGCAUGCAUCUAUCUCGUCUAUUCUCUCCUCGGAUGUCUAUGUCCCCUUCCAAACUCUACUGUCUGAUACAUCCUGCCAUGAUGGUCACUCACACCCUCUCAGGUGUUUAGGAAGCCCAAUAACAUCAUUCAGGGACGUAAGUAAGAGAUCCACUCCUCAGCCUGUAGUCACACCUUCCUGGCCCCUGAAAAGAUUUACCACCAUAAUCUGAAGCAUGUCCUCCUAAAUGGACCCAUAACUAACUUACUGUAGUUCGCUCAUUAGCUUUCAUAUAUUGGAUGUCUCCAUUAUCAACACCCUCCCAGAUACCCCAUCCUGUAUGUCUAGUUAUCCAUUUGAUGCCAAGACUUAUUGGUCUCUGAUUCUUCAUAUGGCCAAAACAACCCUCUUGCUAUCCACAGUGAAUAUUGUGUCAAUACCAACUUCAUGUCAGCAGAUGCAGCAUCCAUGGUUACAGCUGCAAAGAUCAAAAACCUUGGGCUCAUGCCCAAUUCCUCUUUCAUGCUCUUAUCACCCACAUUAGAAAACCUAGCUGUCGGCCGGGCAUGGUGGCUCACACCUGUAAUCCCAGCACUUUGGGAGGCUGAGGCGUGCGGAUCACCUGAGGUCGGGAGUUCAAGACCAGCCUAACCAACAUGGAGAAACCCCAUCUUUACUAAAAAUACAAAAUUAGCCAGGGUGGUGGUGCAUGCCUGUAAUCCCAGCUACUGGGGAGGCUGAGGCAGGAGAAUCACUUGAACCCGGGUGAUGGAAGUUGCGGUGAGCCGAGAUCGUGCCAUUGCACUCCAGCCUGGGCAACAAAAGCAAACUCCGUCUCAAAAAAAAAAAAAAAAAAAAAAAAAAAAAGAGAGAAAACCUAGCUGUCUGCCAGGUACGGUGUCUCAUGCCUGUAAUCCCAGCACUUUGGGAGGCCAAGGCAGGUGAAUCACCUGAGGUCAGGAGUUCGAGACCAGCCUGGCCGACAUGGUGAAACCUCGUGUCUACUAAAAAUACAAAAAUUAGCCAAGUGUGGUGGUUCAUGCCUGGAAUCCCAACUGCUCGGAAUGCUGAGGCAAGAGAAUCACUUGAACCCGGGAGGCGGAGGUUCCAGUGAGCAGAGAUCAUGCCAUUGCACUCCAGCCUGGGUGACAAGACCGAAACUGCGUCUCAAAAAAGAAAGAAAGAAAGAAAGAAAACCUAGCUGUCUUUUUACAAAAAGUGAAUCCUGAAUCCAGACCCAAGUGAUUUACCACAUAUCUGAUCCAUUAAGCCUCACCUAGAUUAUGGCAGGAGCCUUAUCUCUGACCUUUCUUCCUCUUCCCUCAACCCACAGUCUAUGCAACAAGGUCCAACCAGAUGAAGCCUGUAGCCAGGUAGAACUGUGGUAAUAUCACCUCCUGACUUUGAUCCGUUUUAUCUCUAAGCAUUUCACAACCUGGUAGCAAAUCCUGGGUUAAUCUUACAAGGGUGUUUACAUUGGUUGACAGAAAUGGGAAUACCUCCAUAUAACCUGCCAUGGCCUUAGUAUCCUGGGUUUAGAGAUUCUCCAGGGUCCUCGGAUCAAAGGACUGAAAAAAUGGCACUUAAGAGUCCCAGCACACCACAAGCUAGAGAACCUGUGGAUGGGGUCAGGACCAAUGAGGGGAUUGAACACCCUCCACUUUCCUGUGUGGGUUCCCUAAGUGCUUCUGCAGCCAGGAGUGCCUGAGGGGAGAGGCAGACAUUACAAACAUGUCACGGGAUUUGAUAAGCUCAGGCCUCCCUGAACCCUUUCUUGUCCCUGGAGCCAGGUGGCA